rnacentral:tmRNA from 1 species
GGGGUCGUCAUGGUUUCGACAGGAUUUCGUUUGAUCUCAAUUGCAGUGGUGUGGCUACCUAAAGGCCAAAAAACUUAUAACUGGAAACAACAGUUUACAAUUCGCUGCUUAAUUAGCGUUUAACGCUGCAGCCAGAUACUAUGCGUUUUAGCCUUUGGGCAAAUAGUAUCUAACAACCUACAAAGGAUAAGGUGUUGCAUUGCUCGGUGUACCACACGAAAAUCUAAGAGCGCAUCAAGGUUAAUGGUUUGUCUUAUGUCCUUGCCUUGAUUAUUAACACGAGACUAAACUGUAGACGUUGAGAUGUGGGACACUUUCUGGACGCGAGUUCGACUCUCGCCGACUCCACCA